AAUGAACGCUGGCGGCAGGCCUAAUACAUGCAAGUCGAGCGGAGCGGCGGACGGGCGGGUAAGGAAUAGGAAUCUGCCCGGCAGUGGGGGAUAAGGUCAGGAAAGGGGAGCGGAUAUCGCAUAGUAUCAGAUGAGACUAGGUGGGAUUAGCGAGAUGGAGGGGUAAAGGCUUACCAAGGCGACGAUCCGUAACUGAUCUGAGAGGAUGAUCAGUCACACUGUAACUGAGACACGGUCCAGACUCCUACGGGAGGCAGCAGUGGGGAAUAUUUGGCAAUGGGCGAAAGCCUGAUCCAGCCAUGCCGCGUGUGUGAAGAAGGUCUUCGGAUUGUAAAGCUCUUUUAGUAGGGAAGCGUUACCUACACAGUAAGCACCGGCUAACUUCGUGCCAGCAGCCGCGGUAAUUC
rnacentral:rRNA from 1 species